UGUUGUUUAAGGAUGGAAUCUACAUACAGAACAAUGAUUCACGCAUAUAUUUGGAAGAAAUAAGGACUUCAAGAUUGAAGCCAACUCUGAGUUUACUAACAAAAACAAAUGUCAAUUUCAUAUUUACCAAAAGAUCAUCAUCAGUUAUGGAGUGGUCGCAGAUGAAGAGAUGAUGAUAUUGAUGGUUUCCGGUGACCGAACGACCGGAAUGAAAGCGGUGGUGAUGGUCGAUAGUGGUGGUUGCGGUUCAAGUUGGUGACGGUGAUGGUCAAUAAUGGUUUUUUUUAAUUAAUAUUUUGAGGAUUGUUUACAAAAACUGGAAGGAGGUUUGUUAAGGUUUUUCUUGAUGGCCACGGUCGGGCGAUCAAGAGAGCAACAUACAUAACUAGAGCAGGGAAAGGUGCUGGAGCCUUUAGGUGAUGUUACUUAUGGCAAUCAAUUUCUAGAACCAGAUGGUUUAUUUCCUAAUCAUAUUCCUAACCCUGAGGAUAAGGCAGCAAUGAAGGUGAUUACACAAGCAGUGCUUGAUAACAAGAUCUGUCGUUGUGGAUUCCACUGGUCAUGAGUUUAAUCGAAAUCGUCUAAUGGCUUUAAUGUCUGCUAUUGUUUUAGAGGAGCAUCCUGGAACAACUAUUGUCAUAGACAGUGUUACUUCAGAUCGGCUUACAAAUUCAUUGAUAAAAAAGUAGGAGGGAAACACCAUCGGUUCAAACGAGGGUAUAAAAAUGUCAUCGAUGAAGCUAUUCGUCUAGCAAGACAUAGCAUAUAAAAGUUGAUGAUUUCAUAAAAACAAUAAUAAUUUUAAAACAUGUUAAAAUCAGUUUACUGUCAUGCUGACUUGUCUUUUUUUACAGAACUCCGUUGGUGAGGAGUCACAUUUGGCCAUUUAGGCGAAUGGCCAUGGAGCACUCAAGGACAAUCAUUGGUAUAAACUUUGUUAAAAGUUAGUUUUAUUCAAGAUAAUAGCGUGAUAAACUAAGUUAAAUUGAUAAUGACAUUACUAUCGGUAUUGUUAUAAUCGGAACCUA